rnacentral:rRNA from 1 species
GACGAACGCUGGCGGCGUGCUUAACACAUGCAAGUCGAACGGAAAGGCCCUGCUUUUGUGGGGUGCUCGAGUGGCGAACGGGUGAGUAACACGUGAGUAACCUGCCCUUGACUUUGGGAUAACUUCAGGAAACUGGGGCUAAUACCGGAUAGGAGCUCCUGCUGCAUGGUGGGGGUUGGAAAGUUUCGGCGGUUGGGGAUGGACUCGCGGCUUAUCAGCUGGUUGGUGGGGUAGUGGCUUACCAAGGCUUUGACGGGUAGCCGGCCUGAGAGGGUGACCGGCCACAUUGGGCCUGAGAUACGGACCAGACUCCUACGGGAGGCAGCAGUGGGGAAUAUUGCACAAUGGGCGGAAGCCUGAUGCAGCAACGCCGCGUGCGGGAUGACGGCCUUCGGGUUGUAAACCGCUUUCGCCUGUGACGAAGCGUGAGUGACGGUAAUGGGUAAAGAAGCACCGGCUAACUACGUG